GACGAACCGUGCGAACGUUGUUCGGAAUCAUUGGGCUUAAAGGGCGCGUAGGCGGGCCGCCGAGUCCGGGGUGAAAUCCUCCAGCUUAACUGGAGAACUGCCCCGGAUACUGGAGGGCUCGAGGGGGGUAGGGGCAUGCGGAACUGUGGGUGGAGCGGUGAAAUGCGUUGAUAUCCACAGGAACUCCGGUGGCGAAAGCGGCGUGCUGGACCCUUUCUGACGCUGAGGCGCGAAAGCCAGGGGAGCAAACGGG
rnacentral:rRNA from 1 species